GCCACCUGGAUAUACCCGGCCGAGUUAUGGUUUGUGUGCACAGAGAAGAAAAACGAAGGUCAUGACUUUAGUUUCAUACUUGAGACAUAGGAGCGCUUUGAAUCAAAGAAAUCAUGUGAUAGUGGAGUCAUGACUCAGCUAGUUUGUAGAGCGAAUAAGACACGUAUUUGCCUGUGUUGUUAGACAGUUUAAAAGUGUUGUUGUGAAGUGAGUGAAAUGUGGAGGUGAUAUAUUGUUAUUAAACAGUUUUAUAAAAUGUAUAAAUGUCGUACAAUCCAGUAAUGGCACCGGUUAGGUUCCUUUCAAGCGGGCUUUGUUGGAAGGCUGAAACGUUCUAAUGUGCCAGUGCAUAGUCAUGUCGUUCGUUUAAACAAGCUUUGAUUAGACUGAAAAUUAACUUGUAUAAAUCGCUUUGUUUUAAAAAUGUUAUUUCAUAAAGUGUAAUUGCUAUUAAUAUGAUAAUUACCAUUCCGCUGGUGCCGCUAUAUUACUAUACAGUAGUAAUAAUAAGAGGUCUCAGACAUUUUAUUAUUAUUUUCAAUCGUAGGUUAAAAGAAACAAAUGCAAAGCGUCAUUUACGUAUAAGCCAUAAAAAAAUCAAUAAUAAUGGCAACACCACUGUUUUCAUUAGUAAUAAUAAACCUGUAAAGGUUUGUAAAUUAAAACUAUACACCCAUCUUUUGGUUUAUGUGGGGGAAUUCAAAGCGACAGCAGCAAUGAAAGGACCUCAAAUUGUCAAUACGGUUAAGCCGUCAAAUAAGUCCAUUGACAUAUUGAUCGAAGUUAAUAAUAAUAAUAAUAAAUGCAAUAAUAAGAGACUAAUCAAUACUUUCGCUAUGUUACAUUCGUUAGCAACGUUUUAAGAAACGUGUGUGACAAAACAUUUGUGUUACGUGUAAUACAGAAAGAAAAACAGUACAUGGGACAUCACUUUGUGUUUGUAAACAGGAUGUGAAAACUUGAAGAAGUGGAAUAUCCAACUGGCAGAAGCACUUCUUAUGGUUAACGACAUCACUUCGGAGCUGUGAGGUGCCCCAGCGGUUGGAGCACCAACGUGGGUCGAGGCCCUAACAAGGUCUCCCGGCAGAGUUCAGCCACCAAGACCACAGGGCACGAGAGGACGACAGGUUCAGUGGCGUCUCUUGUGAUGAAAUUCUGGCUGUACUCCGACAUGAUGUUAAGUGCAAGGCAUGAAUAGCAAAGGAAAGGCGAAAUGGACACUCCCUGUACUGACACGCGCCACUGCAACAGUGGCACACGUAACGAUGGGAUCAACAUGAACGAAGCUAAAUCGUUAUCGGGAGCUCAGGGGUUCUUUCUCAACCCAGAGGUCCGGUUUCCUGAGUGGCUCCAAGCAACUGCUGGAAAAGUGUUCUGCCAAUCACCAACAAGCAACCUAAUUUACGAUCAUCAGGCGUCAAUUCUCGACGGAGGACUGUGUUUUUAGCAAUACGUCGGCGAGCUAGGUCGUGGAAUUUUUUC